CUGAUGUGUUGCUCUUGAUUGUGUUGUUGUAGUUCUUCCUUUUUGGAGUUGCUUCAAUUAUUGACUAUCAUUUGGUGUUAUGUUACAUGGCGGCAUUUGUAGGUACAUAUAUUUCACUUUAUUGAUCUUUCUGAACUUAUUAGCAGAUUGUGACAUGGAAUGCCAAGUAGACACUAGAGAGAAGAGCUAUGAUGAAUGAGGACUGCAGUCAGUCCAUUUUGGAAAUGAUAAAUACUUAAUAUGCUCAAUGGAUUAGAGAUGAAUGCGGAUGAAGAUGAGGCGGAUGAGGAAGAAGACCCCCCAAUACAUGGUUGGUGCAGAUGAAAGUUUAAGGGGUGAAUAGCUUCGUAACAGGAUUGCUUUACAGUUUUGGAAUAAUUAAAAUACGUAGUUGUUGAAUAUUAAAGUAUAAGGAGGUUGAAUUAUGUCUUUUAUUAUCUUUAUAUGAGCAAAACUUAUAAUUUCAUAUA